CCUACGGGAGGCAGCAGUGAGGAAUAUUGGUCAAUGGGCGCAAGCCUGAACCAGCCAUCCCGCGUGCAGGAAGACGGCGCUAUGCGUUGUAAACUGCUUUUCCAGGGGGAGAAACUUCCGUACGUGUACGGAAUUGACGGUACCCUGGGAAUAAGCAUCGGCUAACUCCGUGCCAGCAGCCGCGGUAAU
rnacentral:rRNA from 1 species